AAAGAUUUAUCUCAAACCUCAAGACCAAAUUCGAAAGUCAUAUCGUUCUGCGCCUAGUCCUCCUUUCUUCUUCCCUCAGCUUUCCCUUCGUCUUGCCCGUCGCCGGUGGUUCUCGCCAGUCGCCGUCGCCACUGGGUCUCGCCCGUCGCCGGUGGAACUCCAGCAAGGGUCUAUUCCCUCCCCUCCUCACCGGUGGUCCCCUGCUCGAAAAACCACCUUCCCUGCUCGAAACACCACCGUGAAGUCCAUCCUUGCUCGAAAAACGCCGGUGGUUCCAAGUAAUUAUGUUGCUCGCGAACCCUGUUCUCCGUCAAUCCUCGCCGCGGCAAAGUAUCAGGUAUGAGUUUAAAACAAAUCAUGGAGAAUGGAUCACGUCAGUGAAACCGAAGUUUGGGGAUAAUAUAUCUGGACGUGUUCGUACAACAAUCAAGUCAGUACCUGAGGAUGUAAAAGUUCUGUACAAAGUGAGGACCGAAUUGCGUUCUGCAUUACAGAACCUGCUAAAGGAAGAUGGAAUUCUUGUUCUUCCAACAAUAGUUUAUCCUCCAAUAAAACGCAACUCAAGAAACUGUCAGUUUGCGGGGAGUUUUAUGAUCAAGCACUAGUCUUAUCCUGCAUAUCAAACAUGUCUGGUUGCUGUCAGGUAUUGAAUAGUCAGUCUUAUUUGACUUAACCUAUCCAUAUGGACUUCGUUCUACAACACAAGAGGAUUCAGAUUCUUCCUCUGACAGAAUGUCGCAGUUUGGAACUGCAAGAGAGUACCAUAUGCAGACUGAGUUGUGGUAUGAUGACAAAGAUGAUGGAUCAUAUAUGACUCCUAGCUUUGGUGGGUUAGACCCUUUUACCUGCCCGGGUGAGGAUAAGUUUGCACGACUUCUGGGAUGGUAAACUGCCUUUGAACACAUCAUCCAUGGAUACUGUUAUUGGUGUCUCCAAAGUACGCGACUUUCCUGCUGCUCCACUACUUGCUGAAAUGUUUAGAAUUCUGAAGCCAAGAUGGAAGAAUUCUGAUUCAUUUGACUGAACUUUCUGGUGAUCUACCUUCCAAAAAUAUUCUUUCUUCUCUGCAUCGGCAGAUACUUGUAGCCGGAUUCUUGGAACCAGAAGCUGGCCAGAAGCAACCUUUCUUUUUCAGGAGUUCAGUCUAUACAAGUCUAUACUCUGAGGAAUGCGCCUUAUGCUAGUGAGGAAAUUGAUGCUGUUCGUGAGCAAUGGGCUAAGUUUUUUACCAGGAAGUAUUUAUUAUUAGCCUGAGCGCUUGAUCGAGUUUGUUUAGAUGUUAUAGAAUAAUUUUUUUUUUAUUAAAAUGUAUGCGUACGUUGAAAUUGAAACGUACAUAUAUUUAAAUAUAUUGGUACGUGCACUUUGGUUUUUGGAUAUAUACAAAACUACAAUUAUUGUUUUUA